UAAGUUUGAUGGCGACCGGCGCACGGGUGAGUAACACGUAUCCAACCUGCCGAUGACUCGGGGAUAGCCUUUCGAAAGAAAGAUUAAUACCCGAUGGCAUAGUUCUUCCGCAUGGUGGAACUAUUAAAGAAUUUCGGUCAUCGAUGGGGAUGCGUUCCAUUAGGUUGUUGGCGGGGUAACGGCCCACCAAGCCUUCGAUGGAUAGGGGUUCUGAGAGGAAGGUCCCCCACAUUGGAACUGAGAUACGGUCCAAACUCCUACGGGAGGCAGCAUG
rnacentral:rRNA from 1 species